rnacentral:rRNA from 1 species
GCCUACCAAGGCUACGAUCAGUAGGGGUUCUGAGAGGAUUAACCCCCACACUGGUACUGAGACACGGACCAGACUCCUACGGGAGGCAGCAGUGAGGAAUAUUGGUCAAUGGGCGGAAGCCUGAACCAGCCAUCCCGCGUGAAGGAAGACAGCCUUACGGGUUGUAAACUUCUUUUCUGUCAGAAGAAUAAGCUUGUCGAGACGAGUGAUGCCGGUAUGACAGGAAUAAGCAUCGGCUAACUCCGUGCCAGCAGCCGCGGUAAUACGGAGGAUGCAAGCGUUAUCCGGAUUUAUUGGGUUUAAAGGGUGCGCAGGUUGUUUGAUAAGUCAGUGGUGAAAGUCUGUCGCUUAACGGUAGGAUUGCCAUUGAUACUGUUGGACUUGAAUAUGGAUGAGGUAGGCGGAAUGUGUAGUGUAGCGGUGAAAUGCAUAGAUAUUACACGGAACACCGAUUGCGAAGGCAGCUUACUAAUCCAUCAUUGACGCUGAGGCACGAAAGCGUGGGGAUCAAACAGGAUUAGAUACCCUGGUAGUCCACGCCGUAAACGAUGAUCACUCGCUGUUUGCGAUAUACAGUAAGCGGCUAAGCGAAAGC